rnacentral:rRNA from 1 species
UACAGAGGUCUCAAGCGUUGUUCGGAUUCAUUGGGCGUAAAGGGUGCGUAGGUGGCGAGGCAAGUCAGAUGUGAAAUCCCGGGGCUCAACCCCGGAACUGCAUUUGAAACUGCCUUGCUCGAGUACUGGAGAGGAGACUGGAAUUUACGGUGUAGCAGUGAAAUGCGUAGAUAUCGUGAGGAAUACCAGAGGCGAAGGCGGCUCCCUGGACAAUUGCUGACACUCAGGCACGAAAGCGUGGGGAGCAAAAGGG